GACGAACGCUGGCGGCGUGCCUAACACAUGCGAGUCGAACGGCAAGGCCCUGCGUUUGUGGGGUUAUCGAUGGCGGAACGCGGGCGGGUCAGGAGUGUAUCGUGCCCUUGUCUUUCGUGGAGCAUCACGUAACGGGGGCUAAUAUAGUACAGCAUAUCCUGCACCGGGGUAAGCGGGGGAAAUUCUCGGCGUUCGCGAAUGGACGCGCCGAUGUCGUGCUAGCUGGUUGGGGGGGUAAAGGCCCAGCAAGGCGACGAUACGUAGCUGGUCUGAGAGGAUGAUCGGCCACACUGGAACUGAGACACGGUCCAUACUCCUACGGGAGGGAGUAGUGGGGAAUAGUGGGCAAUGGGCGCAAGCCUGAUACAGCCAGACCGCGUGGGUGAAGAAGGCCUUCGGUUUGUAAAGCCCUUUUGUUGGGAAAGAACAGCAGCAGGUUAAUACCCCGCGGUUGUGACGGUACCCAAUGAAUAAGCACCGGCUAACUUCGUG
rnacentral:rRNA from 1 species